UUUUAUAAGUUUAUGGUAGUAAAAUUUAAUCAAACCUCUAAAACUUGGCGGUUAUAAUUUACUAAAGAAACUUGUUUUAUAAUCGACAACACCCGAUAAUUUUAACUUUACGCUAUAUAAUUUAUAUACCGCCGUUAAUUUAAAGAAAUAAAAUCAAAUAAAUCUCUCAAUCGAAAACUCACAAAAAUCAGGUCAAGGUGUAACACACGCAAAAGGAAAAAUAAGUUACAUAUAAAUAUAAUUUAAGGAAUUAAUUCAUAAAAAUAAAUAAAGAAAAAGAAUUUAUAAAUAAUUUAUUAAACUAAAAAUUAAAAAAGAAACACUAAAUUAUAAUGC
rnacentral:rRNA from 1 species